UGCCUCUGUCCCCAGGAGACCCUCGCAGUCCUCACUGUCAUAGCCACUGCCUGGGAGAGAGGCAGAGGGGUCCUGAUGACUUGAUGCCCCGCCGAGGCCACGGAGAGAGGAGGGGCAGGAGGCAGCUGUUGUGCCAAGAAAGAAGGGGUGUCGGCAGCCGAGAGAGCCCCCACCACGCCAAGAAGAAACAGGGUGCCAGCAGCGUGGGGAGCCCCCCCACACCAAGAAGAAAGGGGGUGCCGGCAGCCGGAGGAGCCCCCGCCACACCAAGUGUGCCCUGGGCCACCUGAAGAAAGGCAGGGCCUCGUUCCAGGGAGUCUCUGGUCACCCUCCUCCUCCUGCUGUCGGCGCUCGGAGCUCCCCAGCCUUGCUUCGCUCAUCUGAGCAAUGGGUUUCGGCACAGGGCUGGGGAGAGUCUGCUACCUGCCAGGAAGGGACCUGAAGGGACCUGAAGGGCCCUGGGGCAAGGCGGGCGCCUCGGCACUCACCACGGAGGCAGUCUGCAGGCCCGCAUAGACGCUCCUCUCCAGCUUGCUUCGCUUCUUCGCAGGCUCGCCCCCACUGCCUCCUCGCAGCUCCGCACACAGCAGACCCAGGCUUGUCCGCACCGCCCUGGGGGCAUGGGGUGGUGGGUGCAGGGCAGAUGCAGGCCCGGCCGCCCCAGCCUUGUCCCCCUACUGUCUCUGUAGUGGGUCACACUGUGGGUCACCCUCCUCCAAGGGCCCCACGUCUCGGGCAGACAGAGCAGGGGGUGAGGGGCCCCGGGGGCCGAGCCAGCUCUGACCUCCUCUGAGCACCUGCCUGCAGCCAGCCCCUCUGCCUGCCAACCACCGGCCCUCAGCAGUCCCUAUAUCCUCAAAUCCGCCCCAUCCCCCACUUGGCUAUACUGGAAGUGGGCACGCUUCUGUUACCCAAAUCCCAUCCUUCCAGCCUGAUAGGAAGGAACGCCCUGGCAGUGCUGUCUGGUCCUAGCCACAGUGACCCAGAGGCCAGGUGUCGGGGGCUGGGGCCGGUGAGGGCUCUGAGGGGCCGCCCAGUGCUCAGGAGCCAGGGCUCUGCUGCUACUGGGGCCUGAGUGGGGCUGCAGCCCCAGCCUUGGCACCUGGAACAAGGGACAGCCACACAUGUGCCUGUCUGAGUCUGGGGCAGGGCUUAUGCAGGCCGGGCCCGGCCCUUGGCGGGUGUUCAGGGCCUGAUACUACCACCCUUAGGAGUGGGGCAGGCACCGGGCAGGUUUGUGAGAACUGCACCCACAUUUCCGCCACAGCUGGAAGAGGACGUGCCAACCGGAGUCCCACCAGGGGCGGGGAUGGAGCCCUGGACACUGCGGAGGCUGAGCCUCAGUAUUCCCCAUGCCCCAGAGCUGUGCUGUCCCCCAGGCUGGGAGCUGGGGCAGAAGUCAACUCCAGCCUACAUGGGCCCAGCAGCUACCUCCAGAUGCCCCAAAACAGGUGCAAAGGGAUACCCAGCUGCUCAUGAAAAUGAAUCCCAGAUGGAGACAAAGAGCCCUGCCUGGCCCUGGCCUGGCGUGGCCGGAUGUCCCUUUCCACCUUCCUGCUCACAGAGGAGGCUGGGCUUCUGAGGCCUGAGGGGCCAGGCAGGAAGCCAUGGGCCACAAGGCACCCCUGGGCCCCCGCUCCCCGACUUCCUGCAUGGUAGAAGGCCCGUCCCGGGGCCAACUGCCUCUGCCACCACUGCCUGGAUGAGUGAGGGCAGGAGGUGGAAGGGAACCAUUUAGUGCCGAUUUAACUAUUAUUACCAAAUCAUCAGGAUUGAUGCAGUGCGCACACGCACGCGCCAAUCGUGUUUGGAGGAGCUCGGAGGAUUUAUGCAAAUGGGCCUGCCGGGAGAGGCAAUUUGUAGCCGAGAAGGACAAUUAUACCAGGCCCGGGAGUGCGCCAACGACUGCGCCGGGCGGGUAAUGGAUAAUAACAUCGCGCCGGCAGCCGUGAGCAGCUCCACAGCGUG